rnacentral:rRNA from 1 species
GCAAAACGCGAAGAACCUUACCCACCUUUGACAUGUACGGAAUCCUUUAGAGAUAGAGGAGUGCUCGAAAGAGAGCCGUAACACAGGUGCUGCAUGGCUGUCGUCAGCUCGUGUCGUGAGAUGUUGGGUUAAGUCCCGCAACGAGCGCAACCCUUGCCAUUAGUUGCUAUAUUUAGUUGAGCACUCUAAUGGGACUGCCGGUGACAAACCGGAGGAAGGUGGGGAUGACGUCAAGUCCUCAUGGCCCUUAUAGGUGGGGCUACACACGUCAUACAAUGGCUGGUACAAAGGGUUGCCAACCCGCGAGGGGGAGCUAAUCCCAUAAAGCCGGUCGUAGUCCGGAUCGCAGUCUGCAACUCGACUGCGUGAAGUCGGAAUCGCUAGUAAUCGUGGAUCAGAAUGUCACGGUGAAUACGUUCCCGGGUCUUGUACACACCG